rnacentral:rRNA from 1 species
AUUGAACGCUGGCGGCAGGCUUAACACAUGCAAGUCGAACGGUAACAGGUUAAGCUGACGAGUGGCGAACGGGUGAGUAAUGCAUCGGAACGUGCCCGAUCGUGGGGGAUAACGCAGCGAAAGCUGCGCUAAUACCGCAUACGAUCUGAGGAUGAAAGCGGGGGACCGUAAGGCCUCGCGCGAUCGGAGCGGCCGAUGUCAGAUUAGGUAGUUGGUGGGGUAAAGGCCCACCAAGCCGACGAUCUGUAGCUGGUCUGAGAGGACGACCAGCCACACUGGGACUGAGACACGGCCCAGACUCCUACGGGAGGCAGCAGUGGGGAAUUUUGGACAAUGGGCGAAAGCCUGAUCCAGCAAUGCCGCGUGCAGGAAGAAGGCCUUCGGGUUGUAAACUGCUUUUGUACGGAGCGAAAAGGUCCUUUCUAAUACAAGGGGCUCAUGACGGUACCGUAAGAAUAAGCACCGGCUAACUACGUGCCAGCAGCCGCCGUAAUAC